GACGAACGCUGGCGGCGUGCUUAACACAUGCAAGUCGAGCGGCGCGGCGAACGGGUGAGUAACGCGUGAGUAACUGCCCCCCUCUCUGGGAUCACAGUUGGAAACGGCUGCUAAUACCGGAUAGUGGGGGAUGACUCGCGUCCUAUCAGCUUGGUGGUGGGGUAGUGGCCUACCAAGGCGACGACUGGUAGCAGGCCUGAGAUGGCGACCGGCUACAGUGGGAUGAGAUACGGCCUAAACGCCUACGGGAGGCAGCAGUGGGGAAUAUUGAACAAUGGGGAUACCCUGAUGCAGCAACGCCGCGUGGGUGAUGACGGCCUUCGGGUUGUAAACCGCUUUCAGCCAUGACGCGGUAGUGGCAGAAGAAGCACCGGCUAACUACGUGCCAGCCGCCGCGGUAAUUC
rnacentral:rRNA from 1 species